UUUAAUUUGAGAGUUUGAUCCUGGCUCAGGAUGAACGCUGGCGGCGUGUCUAAGGCAUGCAAGUCGAACG
rnacentral:rRNA from 1 species